rnacentral:tRNA from 1 species
UUUUAUAUAGUUUAAAUAAAAACAUUAUAUUUUCAAUAUAAAAUUAAUUAAACUUUAAUUUAUAAAAA